UGUAGCUGAGCGAGGCGGACCGGGUGCAGUAUGGAGGUGAAGGCGGGGUCCACGGCGGGUACCGAUGGCGCGUACUCGGUGUCUGCGGAGGAGACCGAAAAGUGGAUGGAGCAGGCGAUGCAAAUGCAUCAGGGUCUUUUCCAGUGAGUUGACUCUGCAUCAGAUGGCCAAAGGAUUGGAGCUUCAGCUUCACAACAGUCCUUCCAAUGAAUAUUCAAAGUUGAUUUCCUUUAAAAAUGAGUGGUUUGAUCUCCUUGCUGAACAAGGGACUGCUGAACAAGAGUUUUUUCUAACACCACCAUUUGAAAGCAUAUCAGGCCAAAGAUGCCCUAGACAAUACUGAAGUUCCUGUUGGCUGCCUUAUGGUCUACAACAAUGAAGUUGUGGGGAAGGGGAGAAAUGAAGUUAAUCAAACCAAAAAUGUAUGUGAGUUGAAUAGUAUAAUUGCAAACAUAUGACAGUGAUGGUAGACGUGGAAUGGAUUUCUCGUGGUUAGUGGCAAGAUGAAUUUGUGUAGAGUUCGGUGACCAUCAGUGGAAGGACAGUUUCCUGAAACCUUUUAAAAUGUCUUUUUUUUUCUGAUUAUAAAAAGUGAUCCAUACUGACUUUCAAAUUUUUGGAUAAUUCAGAAAAAUGUAAUGAAGCAGUAAAUUCUUUGGGUCUGAUUUUCCAUUUCAUAGAGCUUUACUUUAACACGAGUAAAACCCAAGAGGGGUUUUAUUACAUCAGAGUGUCCAUCUCUGAUGGACAUGAGAAGAAAUGAGUCCAUCUCCAUUUUAAGAAAAUGUAAUAUCUGGAAAUUCUACUUUAUAAGACAUAUCAAUUUAGCUCAUAUUGUAUCCUUCAGUGAGGCUUCCCUGGUAGCUUAGUUGGUAAAGAAUCUGCCUGCAAUGCAGGAGACCCCGGUUUGAUUCCUGGGUUGGGGUGAUCUGCUGGAGAAGGGAUAGGCUACCCACUCCAGUAUUCUUGGGUGUGUAGUACCUUUAAUUAUUGUGUUCCUCCUAGUCAAUUAAAAAGUCACCCUCAAUUGAUAGCUGUGGAGAUAUAAAAGGAUUGUAUAAAGAAAGCUAUUCCUAUAUCAGGUAAUUUGGUGGAGUACAGUCUCCACCACCUGCUGUCUCUGAACCUACAGGUACACGUUAAAAGCUUUCGUGACUUUAUUGUGGCUAGGUUGAGAAGUUAUGAAUUGAGGAAACACUUGUUGAAUUGUGGUAUCACCACAGCGUGUUACAGUGAGUAGAAAUGAAAUCUUAAGUUUUAGGAUUAUAAGAAGUGCCCAGGGGACUCAAGGAUAGCUUAUAAUCUUAACACCUCUCACGUUGACUUUGAUCUUACUUGGGAGCCAGAGAACAAGCUGGGGAUGCUAUGAGGACUCUCAAGUUCAUUCAUCACACCUAUCAACAAGAAAACUCAGAUUGAGUGAAACACAAGCAAAACAGGAACCCAAAUUUACAAAACAAUUGUUAGGUGGACAUCAAGAUGCCCGUAAGAUAUGUAAUAAGCCAUGUUUGUGUAUGUGUGUUAGUCACUCAGUCGUUUCCAACUCUUUACAACUGCAUGGAAUGUAGCCUGCCAGGCUCCUCUAUCCAUGGAAUUCUCCAGGCAAGAAUACUGGAGUGAAUUGCCCUUUACUUCUCCAGGGGAUCUUCCUGACCCAGGGGUCAAACCUGGGUCUCCUGCAUUGCUGGCAGAUUCUUUACCGUCUGAGCCACGUGGAAAGCCCAAUAAGCCAUAGUACACCAAUUAGUGAAUCUACAGAUACUUAUUCGGGAGUAGAAUUUUGUGCUUUAAAUAAUUGUCGUAUCUCCCUAUUUUUUCAGUACAGUAUCUUUAACAUGAGAAAGUCGGAUGUCCUAGCAACAUCUGUCUAAACCCCCAGUGACCUGAGUUUCUUCCACAUCUUGAAAUUAACCUGGAUUUAUUUUUUGUAUUCUGUGCUCUAUAGAAGGUUACCCUACAAUCAGAGUAUAGAAAGACUCUUGACCCCAAAAGAGAAGACAAGUCCUACUUUUGGCUCUGCUACCACUAACCUGCCGUCACCACCGCCAUCACCUCACCCAGCUGUGUGUCUUUAGUAACCUCCUAACAUACCUUACUUAGCUUCUGGUUCUUCAGCAGUAAAAGAGUUGAUUGAGAUGAUUUAGGUCAGUGAUUAUUUCUUGAGAACUAUGAGGACAUUUGAUUCAGUAAUUCUGAACCUGAUUUCUAAAAAGCACCCGAGUUGGAGGAACUUUGCUUUAUUUUUAAGCUCCCCAGUUCGUUCUGGUAUGCAGUCAGGUGGGGGAACCUCUUUGGCAAAGAACCUUCCAGCUCUGAGUUUAUCAUUCUGGGCCAGCAGGGUUCCCAUCUGCCUCUGGCUUCCAUGGCCCCUUGGCCACUGUGCCAGCACUUCCCACAGGUAAAUGAACACCUUUCUGUUUGCCCCACUGCAUUUUAUGCUUCUGGAGGACAGAGACUUUUUUCCCCACAGAGUUUAGUUCAGUGGCUUGUACAUAGUCGCCACUAAGUGUAAGUUUAUUGAUAAACAUGAUUAUCAUGAAUACUAUAAAUAGUUGCCACAUAGCAGAGUACAUUUAUAGUGUUAUGUGUGACUGUGCUGCAUAUAAUUCAUAUCACUUUAUGAGAUGUAGAUAUCAGAAUUACAUUUGGGGAAACUAAGGCUUGGAAAAGCUAUGUAACUUGCCCAAAGCUAUACAAUUAGUAAUGUCACAGUCGGGAUUUAGACUGAAGUAUGGUUGAUUUCAAAUUUUAUGCAUUUCUCCUAUACUCUACUGCUCCCAUAAGGUAUCUGAAACUGACACCAAACCUCUGCUUCUCUCUAGAAUCUGCCAGUAUAUAAGAUUUUAUCCCAGAGAAAAUGUUAAGUGAUGAUAUCCCAGUGAUGACAUUCUAAAUAUAGAUUUGUUUAGAGUAAGGUGAGUGACAGUCUUGAAAACAUAUUUGAACCUAAAGCACGUGCUUAUGAAAAUUUCAGAUUCCUUGGAAAUAUUCAGGAACCACAGACAUCUUUUUUUAUUUGAGACUUAUCUCUCUGGUAUUUUAAUUGAAAGAGUGUCCCCUAAAGUACUUAGCUACUUAACUAAAAAUAGAGCACUAAUUCCUGUGACAUCUCAGAUUAGGUAUCUUUUGUCGGCAAGGCUCUGGUACUUGAACUAGGAAAUACACUGUCAGCUGCUAAGGGUGUCCUGAAACCUUUAUUUGCUGAAAUGUUUGCAGAAACCAUAGGCCGGCCUCUCAUAUUUACUUUGGAAUAUUUGUCAAAUACUGUUACAUGUAGCCAAGGAGGUCAGUGCAGGCAGCUCUCUUUCCAGGCGACUCGACACGCCGAAAUGGUGGCCAUUGAUCAGGCCCUAGACUGGUGCCGUCGACGCGGCAAGAGUCCUUCCGAAGUGUUUGAACACACGGUGCUGUACGUCACCGUGGAGCCGUGUAUCAUGUGCGCGGCUGCUCUCCGCCUGAUGAGAAUCCCGCUGGUUGUCUAUGGCUGCCAGAAUGAAAGAUUUGGUGGUUGUGGCUCUGUUCUGGAUAUUGCCUCUGCUGAUCUACCGAGUACUGGGAAACCAUUUCAGUGCACCCCUGGAUAUCGGGCUGAGGAGGCGGUGGAGAUGUUAAAAACCUUCUACAAACAAGAAAAUCCAAAUGGUCAGUUUUCCCCUGCUGUGUGCACGUACUUAAUCGGCAAAUCCUUUAACACUGCGCCCCCUGAGACUCCCAAUAGACAGAAACGAUGUCAAUUCUAAAUUGCACAGUGAAGAAGUAUUUGAGGCAGACUUCAUGGAGAAGGAGGGACACUGACUGUACCCUGAAAGCUUUUGGGGCCACAAUGGAGAGGCAUUCAUAAAAUCCCCGAAGAAAUAACGUGGCCUACUCUUUGACUCCUGGAGGAUACAGAAGAAGAGAAUUUAGGAGCCGACGUGGAGGAAGUAGCUCCA